UGCGCAGGCGGUUGGGUGUGUCAGAUGUGAAAUCCCGAGGCUCAACCUCGGAACUGCGUCUGAAACUACUCGACUAGAGUACUGGAGAGGGUAACGGAAUUCACGGUGUAGCAGUGAAAUGCGUAGAUAUCGUGAGGAACACCAGAGGCGAAGGCGGUUACCUGGACAGUUACUGACGCUCAGGCACGAAAGCGUGGGGAGCAAAAGGGAUUAGAUACCCCUGUAGUCCACGCCCUAAACGGUGCACACUAGGUCUUGGCGGAUUCGACCCCACAGGGCCCAAGCUAACGCGUUAAGUGUGCCGCCUGAGGACUACGGUCGCAAGACUAAA
rnacentral:rRNA from 1 species